rnacentral:siRNA from 1 species
ACCAAGUCCUUAGGUCGAAGUGCA